UGAAUGUUGAGAAAUGGUAUCUUACAGCAAUAGUUAAUGGGAGCAACAAGUAUACAUGCAAGAAAUAAAGAAAGGAUCCUUUUAGGUGAAUCCUUUUCAUGUUCAAUAGUAGGUAACGUUGAUGGUCACUGCUAUUUUUCUAAAAUUCCUUUACCUCGAUCAGAUCAUCUGACGUUCCAAUCUAAAGUACUUUCAUAAUAUCAAGAAACAAUUCCUUUGUGUCACUAUAGGCAUAACUCUAAACUUAGCAUGUCGUUUACUUGGCAUUCCUUUAUUCAUCAUUAAAUAAAACUUGAUUCACUGCUUCA